rnacentral:rRNA from 1 species
AUUGAACGCUAGCGGGAUGCUUUACACAUGCAAGUCGAACGGAGUGGCGGACGGGUGAGUAAUAUAUCGGAAAGUGCCCAGUAGCGGGGGAUAACUACUGGAAAGAGUGGCUAAUACCGCAUACCAUCGGAGGGGCCCAGAUUGGAUUAGCUAGUUGGUGGGGUAACGGCUCACCAAGGCGACGAUCCCUAGCUGGUGUGAGAGGAUGACCAGCCACACUGGGACUGAGACACGGCCCAGACUCCUACGGGAGGCAGCAGUGGGGAAUUUUGGACCAUGGGGGAAACCCUGAUGCAGCCAUCCCGCGUGUAUGAUGAAGGCCUUCGGGUUGUAAAGUACUUUCGGCAGAGAAGCGGUAUCUGCAGAAUAAGCAACGGCUAACUCCGUGCCAGCAGCCGCGGUAAUAC